GACGGAGGGGGCAAGCGUUGUUCGGAAUUAUUGGGCGUAAAGGGCGCGUAGGCGGAUCUGUGUGUCUGGCGUGAAAUCUCCACCACUUAACGGGGAGAGGUCGCUGGAAACUGCAGAUCUGGAGUUUGUUAGAGGACCAUGGAAUUCCAGGUGUAGCGGUGGAAUGCGUAGAUAUCUGGAAGAACACCGAUGGCGAAGGCAGCCCCCUGGGUUAACACUGACGCUCAUGCACGAAAGCGUGGGGAGCAAACAGG
rnacentral:rRNA from 1 species